AGCCUUGCUAUCGCUAAUUCAACGGCUGAAUGGGGCACAAGUAGAGACCCAGGACGUGAGGACGUGCCAUUAGAACCAGUUAGUUGAAAAACACGCAUGUCCACUUGUGAUCACAGCGAAACAAUGAAGUCUGACCUUUACUGAUAAGAAAACAGCCUGCAGCUCCUUGGAUGCUUUCAUUGGAUAUCUUGUAACUUCCUGAAUGAGCAGUCACAGAAGGAAUUUUGGAUAAGCAGCCACUCCUGGGAAAGAGCAAAAGUAGAGACACGUUCAACUUCCCUUGAAAGGAGCUCCUCUGACGGCAAAGCUCUGCCAGAUGUCUCUUCAUGAUACAGCGACUGAUGCUUGAACACUUCUGAGAGGCAACUUGAAACCAGGUAAUAAAAGACCAUUGCGUGAAUUUGUCGUAUCGUUCCGCAGUCGGGAGGAAAAGCAGUUGUAGUGUUCACAAGGUACCAUACUGUAGUUCAGUGCCAAUGUCUCAUUUAUAUUAGAAAUGAAGAAACAUCUGUUCGAGGGCAGCGCUGAGGCUUGGAGCACUGAAAGAGGAAGUACAUGUUGUAGGGCUAUUCACGGUCUUGAUGUGUCAGAGUCGGGAUGUGAUGUGGCUGGAGAGCAGCAUACAAUCAUCCUCUCUAUUCUUUUGAGCAGCCGAGAGAAGAGGAUUUGUCAAGGUCUGUUUGCAUAGCGCUGCAGAUUCUGCUAAAUUUUACACCAAAGAAGACGGCCUUUCAUCAGAGGUUCCCCCUUUGGAAGCUGGUUUCAGAUGGUGGCUUAGAGUAUUGUCAUCUAUCUAGCACCAUUUGAAAUCAGUGUUCUUGGGGCGGGAAGUAUGUUUCAAUGACCAGCUCCAGGCAGCUGUGAGGUGUCAAAAGAAGUGCCCAGUGAUAAAGGUACAACAUGGAAAUGUCACCACUGGAAGAUGGAGUACCACUCGCAGAACUACAAACUUCUGGUCUACAGUGACGUUUUGCCAGCUUCUGCUUUUUGUCCUCUUUCCAAGGUUGACCGAUUUCUUUCGGUGUUCAGAGUCUGCUUCUGUUUCUAGCACCAUUUGAAAUCGGUUACAGUGAAGGACAGAUCUCAUCUUACCUUGAGGACGAUUUUGCAACUAAGUGGUCCGCUUUUUCUUUUUGUUUUAAAUUACCUUUGUAAAAUCUAUAGACAUUGAUAUGUUUGUUUAAAAAAAAAAAAUCUGUUGGGUUAUCCAACUCAAAAGUUUUGGGUCACCCAGAAGAUCCCAGAUUUUUAAUUAAAGCUUUAACUUCCAUCCAUCCACUUUCUUAACUGCUUAUCUAGUUCAGAGCCACAGAGAAACGAGAGGGAGGGUACAACCUGGAUAGCUCACUAUUUCACCACCUGACUAACCAUUCACAUUUACAGUUACUUUGGAAUCACCAAAAGUAUGUCAGCACUGUGGGAUGUUGCAACAUUGGAGAACAUUACAAGCCUCACAAAAAAAGUAUUAGACAAGCAGGAGGUUCAAACCAGGAAUCGUCUUGCUUUGAGGCAACAGUGGUAACCACAACACUAUGUUGCCAUCCAAGUGUCCUUCAAACUUUGUGUUUGGCAUUUCCACCAGUGCUUUGGUAUUUAUUGAUGCAAUCUAGAGAAAUUCACAGCUUGAAGCAAGGAGCCACAAGUUGGAAUUUUUUAAUGGGCACUUACAUACCUUAUUGUCAAGAUGUUUCCACAACAGCUAAGCAGGAUUAUAUUCUGAUGACAGAAUACCAGCUGAAAGCUUCUUUUUGAUAUUUUUUUUGCAGUCUGUAGCUGUGCCUCAUCAUUGUCCUGUUAUUGUGUUCCUGCUUAGAAUUUGUUUCUCAGAAUGACUACACUAAGAUACAAUAUUGGAACUCUAGAGUAGUGGUGUGUGAUACUGCAUAUUUUGGUAUCGAUCCAAUACCCAGUAAACAUGGGCCAGUAUCGCCGAUACCGAUACUCUUCCAUAAAAAAGGUGGAUGCAUCAUUGAAUUGCUAAAUCUCAAUUAAUUUUCAUGACCUUAACUGUUUUUUCUGAUGUUUCUUUUUUUAUUGUUAAAUAGUUAAAACCUAGGACAUAAUUAGGACGUUUAUAAUUAAAUAGAAAAUGCUUUAUUAUCAUUUUUUUUUUGUAGAAAAAUCUUAAAUAAAAAGUUUACGCAAACCAGUAAACAAAUUAAAAACAGUAGUACAGUAGUAGUACUGUUGAGAAACUAUAAUAAAAUUACAAUUAAAAUUCUCAACAACAAAAACAACUGGUGAAAAUAUAAAUAAUAUGUAAACAGCUUAACUACCCCCAAAACGUCUAAGUCACGUCACGUCACGAGACGACACAACAUCUAAACACAAGAGGGGGGAGGAGGAGCAAAGUGCGCCUCCUCUGCGCUGACACAGGAGCAGCAAGUCCGGCGACCUGCCUGUUUCGUCUUUGCCGAAAGCACAGCAUUGCAAACAAGACCGGAACUUAAAGUAAAGAAUCGAUCUCACCAGGCUUGUAUCGAUCCGAGACCGAUGCCGACUUGGGAUCGAUCCGCCCACCACUACUCUCGAGUGAUUCUAGCUGGCAUCUGCACACCUAUAUACAGUACUGUGCUUUUGCUUGAGCCACUCCUCAUUUCUUUAUAAUUUCAAGCAGCCAGACAUUCUUAUAAUUUUUAAAAGUUGUUUUGAGAAACAGCUCUCCAGACUUUUUGAAGGUCUUUCAAAAGUUUCAUUUGGCUGUUUGGGUGUUGUUAUAUUUUUUAUUUUACUUUUUUUGUCUUCAACCAUUUUCUGUACAGUCCUUGCACCUGAUCAUUUUCAUUUUUUUUUCAUUUGUUAAACCACUUAAAACUGACGUAUUAUCUAAAGUAUACAAGAGGCACCUUGAGGUGAAACUCAAGAGAUCAAAACCAGUGUUGUACCAACACAUAAGACAAAAUUGGUAUUUUUCUUUCAAUAGACAGCCUGUCACAGGAAAAAAAAAGGUUCACAUUUCAGUUUUAUCUGUGGAACAUACCAAAGCUAACACAGUUUGACUGGUGAAAAAUAGCAUUUCUGCCCCAACAAGGUGAUCCCCAAAGAGCUAAUAGUCGGACACUUGGCAUAUCAAUAUGCCCUAAAAUAACUGAAGAAACUGGAGAAUUGGAGGACAAAGAAAAAAGGGUCAGGCCUCUGAAAGUCAUGUUAUUAAAAAAAAAAAAAAAAAAUCAGCAAAGAGCUGACAGGACCUGAGAGAUACAUCUGGUCCUUCAGUUGAUUCCUCUGCUGUUCAUUGACGAGUCAUCGUCUCAGUGGAAUGGUGGCAGUCAGAAAGCCAUUCUUAAGGGAGUGUGAGGAACACUAAAUUACACAAGAACUCAACUGAAAAUCACUAACAAAGGUCUAAUGCAGUGAUGAAUCCAAAUUUGGAUAUUUGGUUCGUAUUGUUAUUGAUGUGUAUAAAGGUGGUUAAUGGAGAGGUAGAACAGGGAGUGUCUGCAAGUCAUUUGUAAAACAGGGUUGAGGCUUCGUCAUAAUUUGGGCUGCAUUUCAUUGAGUGGUGUGGAAAACUGAUAAAAUUAUGAACUCAGAAAGUACCAUCACAUUAUGUUCCACCAUGUAAUAAAAGCUCUUCAAAAAGCA